rnacentral:rRNA from 1 species
AUUUUGGACAAUGGGCGGAAGCCUGAUCCAGCAAUGCCGCGUGCAGGAUGAAGGCCUUCGGGUUGUAAACUGCUUUUGUACGGAACGAAAAAGCUUCUCCUAAUACGAGAGGCCCAUGACGGUACCGUAAGAAUAAGCACCGGCUAACUACGUGCCAGCAGCCGCGGUAAUACGUAGGGUGCGAGCGUUAAUCGGAAUUACUGGGCGUAAAGCGUGCGCAGGCGGUUAUGUAAGACAGAUGUGAAAUCCCCGGGCUCAACCUGGGAACUGCAUUUGUGACUGCAUGGCUAGAGUACGGUAGAGGGGGAUGGAAUUCCGCGUGUAGCAGUGAAAUGCGUAGAUAUGCGGAGGAACACCGAUGGCGAAGGCAAUCCCCUGGACCCGUACUGACGCUCAUGCACGAAAGCGUGGGGAGCAAACAGG